rnacentral:lncRNA from 13 species
GCGGUCACACAGGGAGGUCGCAGCCCCAGUCUCCUAGUCACCUGAGAGCCCCAGGCGCUGCGGACGCCACCUCCCAAGGGCUGUGGUUUCGCCCGCCUGCCCGGGGCCUGAGGCCUUGCCCCGUCCCGCCCCGGCGGGGCCCGCGCGCAGCCCACCUGCCAGCUGCGCUGGGGGCUUGCGCGCCUGCCCCACCGCUUUGUUCCUCAUCCGGGCAGUGUUCGCCUCGGGGCCCUGCCCGUCCGCUCGGGCCCCUCACCCCUGGGGCCGCUGCCCUAACGUUUCCCGCCCCGCCCGGCCCUUCCCGGCCCGCCGCCUCCUCAGGGCCGCACCCUCCGCGGUACGUUUCCGGCUCCUCAGCCACUCUCGGCGCCCGCCACUACGCCCCCCGUGCGUGCAGCCCUCCCCGCCGCGGCCCGCAAGCGGCGCCCGCGCACCGCCGCGCCCCUCUCCCAGCCCAGGCCCCUCCGCGCGUGCGCACGGAAGAUGCGCAGGCCGCAAGAAGCUCCGCCGGGAGCUCAGUAUCUCCAUCCGGCCAGGUCGAAUCGAGUGCCGAGCGAUCGACCCAUGGUUGCUAGGCGACCAGGGCUGCUGUGCCCGCAGGUGCCACUGCUGAGCUCCAGGAGAGUUGAAGGGAGCAGCUGUGUGGAUUGCUGCCUAGAUUACCAUAACGUUUUCCAGGGAGGUGGAAUGUGUGUGUCCUGCUCCAAGAUGUCGUUCCUGACCUACAUCCUCUCAAGCAAAUUUCAUGCCAAAUGUGGCCCAUGGUAGUCUGAAUGAGUCUGGAUGUUAGCUGUACCUAAGAAGCCCCUGGUAGCUGUUUCCCACAGUAAUACAGGUAAUUUAUACUUGAGCUAUAUAGAAAAGGACUGAUAAUAGAAUCAUGUUGGAUAAUCAGUUUGAGAUUUCGUUAACUCACCCAUGACAGAUCUUAUGGCUAGCAUGAGGUCAUAGUGCAGCAUAUGUAUCCCUGUUGUUUCUUGCGGCAGCAGACAUAAAUUACAGUAUGGGGCCAGAGAGGUAUGUACACCUCUGUGUCAUGAGACUAGGAAACUCAAAUCUGUAUGUGAUCGUAUUAAUAUUUUUCCUUAGAACAGCCAGUAUUUGUGACCUUAUCAAAUAUUUCAUAAGAAGAGCCAAUUUAGGUCUCUCGGGUUUCAAGCUGGUGAUACAGGACCUGAGUUUAAGGAGUGGACGUUUUCUUCUUCCAUAGACAUGCCUUUAAAUUGAUUGACCUUUAGGAACAGCCUACCUGCCCAUCUGCCCCUUUCAUGAGCAGACCCAAAUAGGACUACACAGCCCCAGCCCCAGCUGUUCUUCGCAGGCCAGCAUAUGUGUUACAUGAUCUAGCCAGCCUUAGGACAGCUUUAGGUUGGAGAGAACAGUUACUUGGAUCAAAACUGACUGCAGAGUAAUCAGGAGUCAAAACAUCCUCUUUUGAUCUCUUAUAUAAAGAAGGUAACCCCCACCCCAUAUCCUGUGCAUCAUGUGAGUAAAACAGUGCUGUUCCUACUGGAAAAGCCACUUAUUUUCAAUGCUUUUGUCCUUUAGGGAAGGCU